UACGUAGGGCGCAAGCGUUGUCCGGAAUUAUUGGGCGUAAAGAGCUCGUAGGCGGUUUGUCGCGUCUGCUGUGAAAACCUAAGGCUCAACCUUGGGCUUGCAGUGGGUACGGGCAGACUAGAGUGCGGUAGGGGUGACUGGAAUUCCUGGUGUAGCGGUGGAAUGCGCAGAUAUCAGGAGGAGCACCAAUAGCGAAGGCAGCUCGCUGGGACGGUACUGACGCUAAGGCGCGAAAGCGUGGGGAGCGAACAGG
rnacentral:rRNA from 1 species